UGGGGAAUAUUGGACAAUGGGGGCAACCCUGAUCCAGCAAUGCCGCGUGUGUGAAGAAGGCCUGCGGGUUGUAAAGCACUUUUGGCAGGGAUGAAAAGCACUGGAUUAAUAACCCAGUGUGUUGACCUAACCUGCAGAAGAAGCACCGGCUAACUCUGUGCCAGCAGCCGCGGUAAUACGUAGGGACCAAGCGUUGUUCGGAUUUACUGGGCGUAAAGGGCGCGUAGGCGGCAUGACAAGUCACUUGUGAAAUCUCUGGGCUUAACCCAGAACGGCCAAGUGAUACUGUCGCGCUAGAGUGCAGAAGGGGCAAUCGGAAUUCUUGGUGUAGCGGUGAAAUGCGUAGAUAUCAAGAGGAACACCUGAGGUGAAGACGGGUUGCUGGGCUGACACUGACGCUGAGGCGCGAAAGCCAGGGGAGCAAACGGGAUUAGAUACCCCAGUAGUCCCUGAGCGGGCUGGCAAGGCG
rnacentral:rRNA from 1 species